GAUGAACGCUGGCGGCGUGCCUAAUACAUGCAAGUCGAGCGGACGGACGAGAAGCUUGCUUUUCUGAUGUUAGCGGCGGACGGGUGAGUAACACGUGGAUAACCUACCUAUAAGACUGGGAUAACUUCGGGAAACCGGAGCUAAUACCGGAUAAUAUUUUGAACCGCAUGGUUCAAAAGUGAAAGACGGUCUUGCUGUCACUUAUAGAUGGAUCCGCGCUGCAUUAGCUAGUUGGUAAGGUAACGGCUUACCAAGGCAACGAUGCAUAGCCGACCUGAGAGGGUGAUCGGCCACACUGGAACUGAGACACGGUCCAGACUCCUACGGGAGGCAGCAGUAGGGAAUCUUCCGCAAUGGGCGAAAGCCUGACGGAGCAACGCCGCGUGAGUGAUGAAGGUCUUCGGAUCGUAAAACGCUGUUAUUAGGGAAGAACAUAUGUGUAAGUAACUGUGCACAUCUUGACGGUACCUAAUCAGAAAGCCACGGCUAACUACGUG
rnacentral:rRNA from 1 species